GACGUAGGGCGCGAGCGUUUGUCCGGAUUUAUUGGGCGUAAAGAGCUCGUAGGCGGUCUGUCGCGUCCGUUGUGAAAACUCGAGGCUCAACCUCGGGCUUGCAGUGGAUACGGGCAGACUAGAGUGCGGUAGGGGAGACUGGAAUUCCUGGUGUAGCGGUGGAAUGCGCAGAUAGUCAGGAGGAACACCGGUGGCGAAGGCGGUUCUCUGGGCCUUACCUGACGCUGGAGGAGCGAAAGCAUGGGGAGCAAACAGG
rnacentral:rRNA from 1 species